rnacentral:lncRNA from 1 species
CAAAAUAGAAGUUCCUAUAAUAACUCCCUCAGCUGCCCACCACCAAAUGUCUAGGCUUCCUAUGUCUGUACUGUCUUCACCCUCCUUCUUCCUGUCAACUUGGAGGAGGUGUCUCUCCUUCCAUCAAAGGUCAAUGCCUCCACUUUUGCCUUAUAUAGAAAAUUAUCUCUACUAUUGCUUUUUUCUUCUACUUAAUUAAUCUCUCUGUCUGUGCUGGAACAUUCCUAUCAGCUUAAACAUCUGAUAUAUCCCAUGCUGAAAAAAACAAAAGACGGAGGAGGAAGAGGAGGAGGAGGAGAAAGGAAAGGAAACCUGUCCUUUAAGUGCUCCUUCUAACUACCAAACCAUUUCUCUGCCCUGUGUCAUAUCCAUUUUUAUUGAAAGAGAUGUAUACACUCCACCUCUACUUCCUCACCUCUUCUUCAUUCUUCAAUAUCCUCCAAUCUCUCUCCAUUUUCAUAUCUUCAUUGGUGUGAAUUAUUAUGUCAUUAAAGUUAAUAAACUAUUUUUCUGUCUUCAUCUUAUUAGACCUCUUAGCAAUAUGCAAUGUGACAUCUAGGUUCUUCUCAAAACCCUCUUUACCUUGGCUUCUGUACCUGUUCUAUCUUCUACCACACUGGCCUACCACAAUAAUUUCAUUCUUCUUUGAUGGUCUCUUUAACUAUUGUUAUUUUUCAGAAUUUGGCUCUUCUUACGUGUUCUCAUCCAUUUCUAUGGCUUUACAUUUUUCUUUUGUGUCAGGACCCCCUUAAGCAUCAGAUUCAUGUCCACUCACCUACUUAAAUAUAUUAUAUUACCAUCUCAGUUUAGAAAGCAUCACAAGGCGACCUCAUUUGGCAUUUCAUUGCACUCAUUACAUGUGUGGAAACAUCCCUUCCAGACCAUCAUCUUCUGCUAAGUGUCCAGGGCUUGCUUAAGGCUUAUGAGUUCCUGGGAUAUUGCAAAAUGAUUUGUCUAUAUGUUCAUAUGGGGUAAGUCAGAGAAGGGUCAAACAAAAUUGAAGGACCAACAGGUGUCACUCCUGCAGAUCAGUGGCUUGGAGAAGUGCCAGAUACUACUGAAGAGAUGCUUUUAUUAGUCAUUGAUGAAAAGGACAGCUUGCAUAAUAUCAGGGCACAAGGGAUGGACAGUGAUUGCAUAAAGGUAGACCAGUGCACUUUUCAGAUGAUGACUUCUACAUGGCUUUUAGGUACCUGAGCAAUGCUCCUCACUGUGGUUCUUUGCUGAACUAGUCCCCAUUCCUGUCCAUGUGGCCCAUUCAGAUUUAGCCCUCUGACCUACACCACCAACCCUCUUCACUUCUUUGUUCCAUUUUAUCCCAGGGUAUCUCUUCUUUUCUGGCCACAGAAUGGCAUGACUGUUUGAAUACAGGGUAUGAAGAGGAGAAAAGUAAAAACCAGAUAAUAUGUCAAAUUAUUAUUCUAGCAAGAUAUCUGCAUUAGACAGCUCAUGCUGCCAUGAUGAAAUACCAUAGAUUGGGUGGUUUAAAAAACAGAAAUUUAUGUUCUCGUAGUUGUAGAGGCUAGAAAGUUCAGCAUUAAGGUCCAGGAGGGUUCAGUCUCUGGUAAGGGCUCUUUCUGCCUUGCAGAUAGUUGCCUUUUCCCUUUGCCCUCACAUGGUGGAGAAAGAGAAAUCUCUGCUUUCUCUUCCUUUUUUAUAAGGAAUCAGUUAUAUAGGAUCAAGGCUCCACUUUUACAACCUCAUUUAACCUGAAUCACCCCUUACAGCCUUAUCUCCAAUAUUGUCAUGUGGAGGCUUGGGGUUUUAACAUGUAAAUUUGGAGGGAGGAUACAAUUCAGUCCAUAGCAAUAUCUAAUAGGAAUCUCAAGCUAUAACGUGUCUAAAACAGACUACCUGAUUCUCCCGGGUUCCCACAUCCUCAUCCACAAAAUCUCCCUUUCAUAGCCUUUUUAUCAAAUUGAGUAAUCAGCACAAUUAUCUAGCCACUUGCUUAAGCAUAAAACAUGGAUUGAUUUGUCCAUGAGUCUUUUUAUUUUCUUAUUGUGCAUUAUCAAAGCGAAGAGCAAGACCUGUUGCCUCGAUCGUCAUAGAAUUUCUUGAAUUUGGUCACUUAUCCAUCUCUACACUCAAUACCUUAGUGUAUGCCACCAUCAUCUGGAAUGCUAACCUCUAUAAUGGUGUCCCUGCUACCAAUCUUGUUAUGUCAUAAUCCAUUCCUCACAGCCAGAGUGAUUUUAUCAAAAUGUUCAUCAGAUUAAUACAUGCAUAUGAACAAAAUGCACUUAAAAUACAAUCCUAUUGCCUUACCUUGGCCUACAAGACCCUGGUAAAAAUCUUUGAACAUUACAGAAAUUGGUUGAUUGAUUGACUGAUUGAUUGUGAAACAGAGUCUCCCUGUGUUGCCCAGGCUGGAGUGCAGUGGCCUGAUCUCGGCUCACUACAACCUCUGCCCUGCUGGGUUCAAGGGAUUCUUCUGCCUCAGCCUCCUGAAUACCUGGGAUUACAGGCACACGCCACCAGGCCAGGCUAAUUUUUGUAUUUUUAGUAGAGAUGAGGUUUAGCCAUGUUGGCCAGGCUGGUCUCAAACUCUUGACCUCAAGUGAUCCGCCCACCUCAGCCUCCCAAAGUGCUGGGACUACAGGCAUGAGCCACUGUGCCCGGCCUGUUAUAGAUUUUAAAUGAGGGAGAAUAUUUAGAUCUGCUUUGUGAGAAAUGGCAAUUGGAAGUGGUACAGAAAUUAGGAGAAAAAUUAAGCUGGUGACAGGAAGAGAUAUAUAGAGUCUACUGAUAUAAUCCAGAAGAGAAUUUAUAAGACUCAAAACCAAGGCAGUGGAUAUGGAUCAAAACCAAGGCAGUGGAUAUGGAGAGGAAGAAAUAUAUUGAGGGGUGUUUAUGAGAUAUAUAGGAAAAAAGAAGCCAAGACUCAACUGAUGUGAUGGUGGGAGGUAGUAGUCUCUUCCCAGGCUUCUCACUCUAGUAUGUGAGGGAUGAAGUGUCAUUCACUUAGACAGAGAUUUGAGAGGAGGGGAAAGUUAUAGAGGAGUAGAUUAGUUCUUUUGGUACAAGCUAAGUUUGAGAAUCCUUGGAAAAUCAAAAUGCAUCCUGUUUAUUUGGUUGUUGGACAUAGAUUUAUGGGACCUGAGAUAUAAAGAUUUGAGAAUCCGAAAGCAUUCAAAGACCAGAAGCUAGAAACUCUGAUUACAUAGUUUCAGUGUAUACUGGAGGAUCGGGAGUCAAUUUGAAAGAUGAAGUGGAUGGAAAUGUGAGUGGAAAAGCAGUCUGUUGGAAGCUAUGGAGUGAGUAAAAGAUGAUGGCAAAUAUUGCAAAACAAAUCAAAUAUAUAGGAACUAAAAAGUGUUCUUUGAAUUUGCAGCCAGAAGUCGGUAAUGCAUUUUGAGAGCAGUUUGGAUGACGUUGUAGGGAUAGCAGCUGGAUUGCAAUGGCUUAAGGAGUGGAAGAGGGUUAGUUUUAUUUUCAAGUUGCUUAGGUGAAAAGGAAGAGAGCUAGGGUGUUAGCUAGUGGUGGCAUACAAUCAACGGAAGAUUGUUUUGUUUUUACAUUUGGAGGAGAAGGAGCCAAUAAUGGAUAUGCCUAAAAACAAAGCAACCAAAUCAACUAACAAGCAAUAAAAUAGGAGAAGAGGAUAAUAGCAGAUAGGUUGAUUCCCACAGUGCAAUAUAAGGAGAAACCUUAAUCAAGCAACACCUCUCUUCAAACCUGUCCUAAUCUCUCUACCAGUCAACAUAGUAAAAUGGAGGCAUAUAUAAUUAUUAUUUGUUGAAUAGAGCUUUAUAUUUUCUAUAAAGUUAAAAAGCAAAUGGUGUAUAUGUGUUUUAUUUCCAAAAGACUUAAGUUAAUCUUGCCUUUGACUUUUGUAUAGCUUAUGACUGAUGAGUUAUAAAAACUAAUUUCUUUCCUUGUUGAUGGGUGGUCCUGGGUAGAUAAAACUUGAGUAACUCCUGCAGUGGCAUUAUUCCCCGACCUCCUUCCUGUACAAACAGAAGUCUAUAUGACUGUCGUAAGUUAAACUAUAAAGGUUUCAAAAUACAUUGCCACCUCUGUCUGUGCACUCCUUAUGUCCUAAACACUCCAGCUACAGCAUGUUUUUCUUUGUUUUGAUUUUUUAUUAGAUCUUUGACACCAGUUUUUUUCUCUACGAUUCAGGUUCUUUUUAUUUGACAAUGUAGGCUCAUUAUAGGAGCCACUGAAAACCUCACCUAAUUAAAAUUCACAGGUCAUAAAAUUUAAUUCAGUGGUAAGGCUAAUUUUCCUCUAAGCUAUUGAAUAUCAGUGAUUACUUCUUCAGUGGGAGUGAGGACAAAGACCAUUUUCAUCUCUUUUAUUGUUAAUAUAAAUUAGCCCCAACCGAAAUACUCACUUGAAAGAUGUGGAAAAUAUCGUAAGUAUGGAUUAAAACUGCUCUACAGUAGAUGGUGAAGAUUCUGUCCUCUACAAGUAUGAGAUAACUUUAAAAGAAAGUGUUAAAUGUAAUCUUUCAAGAACUAAGUGGAUGGGCCGUAAUCAUCUUAGAAAAUAGUUCACUGCUUAGAGAUUUCACUGGUUGGCAUUGUUCCGGUGGUCUGAAGAGUUAAACGCACUUUUGCUUUGGGGAAAGAGUCUGAGUUAGAGGAAGGAAUACUUGAGAAGAGACACUUGAGAAUUGUGAAUCUUUACUCUCUCUGCUUCGUGAAUGUCAUCUAAUCAUGCUAGGUAUAUUUGGCCACGGAUAUGGGACUAUGCAUCUAUCCCUUUAUUUGCUUCUAAAACAAAACUUAAAAACAGGUAAUCUUUUAAGAGAUGGAGGUAAUUUUUUGUUAGAGGUGAGAUCAGUUUACAAGGUACCAGCCCCCAUUCCACUGACCUCCAUAGACAUGGCCCAUUGUAAUGUUGUGGGAACCCAUUAAGUCCUUUUUCUCCUUUUUCUUUGUGCAUUAGUUGAAAUUACACUGUAUUAAUAUAGUGUAAUAUAAUAUAUAUACUAUAGUAUAUAUACAGUAUAUAGUGUAAUGUAAUAUAUAUACUAUAGUAUAUAUACAGUAUAUAGU